AGCCCGGCCGGUUAAAGCAGGGGACUCAUAAUCCCUUGGUCGUGGGUUCGAGCCGCCGUC
rnacentral:tRNA from 1 species